GGGCCCGUAGCUCAGCUGGCAGAGCACCUCACUUUUAAUGAGGGUGUCGAGUGUUCAAAUCACUCCGGGCUCA
rfam:Elusimicrobia bacterium RIFOXYA12_FTLL_49_49 rifixya3_full_scaffold_370, whole genome shotgun sequence.